UUUUGAGAUGAUAUUUUACAACCUUAUGUGAAUAUUUCACUUUUUGUUAUAAUUACAUGAUGUUAUCUUAUGAAUUAUGAAAUGAUAUGAACUUCAUUUUCGAUAGAAAUGUAAAAUUGAAAAAGUAUAAUUAUUUUUGAACUGCUUCACUCAUUGAGUUAUCAACUCAUAUAUUUUCCCACGAUUUUUCCUACAGGUGGAAAUUGGUUAUUUUUAGCUGGAAGAGCCUAAUGAUUUCUGAGUAAGAGCCACACGAUAUGUUGAGUGUUAUAAUUCAUAUUGAUGAAGCACGAAGUAAAUGUUUUGGGCCCAUUGCAUUAUGUUUUACAUAAGCAUUUGAUUUUGUUGCAUUUUUUGAAAUAACUCAUAGUCAGCCUUGGUGAUAGAUUUGACAUCUAGUCAGCAUCUAUCAUUGGCGCACGUCACGUUUCGGGUCCACUAGGGUGAUUCGGGACGGGUAGUGUCAAGGGGUCACAGUGAC
rnacentral:lncRNA from 1 species